CCGCUAUCACCACCACUCAUGUCUCAUCUUCUCUUUUCUAUCUUAUUGUCAUCAACACAACUAAAAUUUUCAAUUAAUCACAUUUAGAUCUGUAAAAGGUUCCGAAACAACGAAAAAGCUUGACUUAUCUGAGCAUAAGCUUUUUCUUCAACAACGUGAAAGCUUUUCUCUCGAUCUGGAUUUUAAUUGUUGUUAUUUAGAAGUGAUGAAGAGAUUGAUGAUGAAGAAGGGCCUGAGUUUUUGUUAGACUUGCAGUUGUUCCUCUUAGAUCUGUACUUUUGUUGUUCUUAUUCAGUGGAAAU